rnacentral:lncRNA from 1 species
AGUUGGUUUCACAAUGGACUGUACCACCAUCCAGGGACAUGGUCACAUUUAAUUUCUCAAAGCUGAAGGAAAUAUGAUGGUCAGGAUAUGAAGAAGAAAACAAUAAAAAAAUCAUGUCUAGCAAGAACAGAGGUCACCUCCAAUGGAGACACUUCAGGAAUUGCUCGGGAAAGAACAUCAAGUGGUCAAACAGGAGGAUAUAUGUGGUUCAAGCUACAGAAACAGCAACAGGCUG